rnacentral:rRNA from 1 species
UACGUAGGGACCGAGCGUUGUCCGGAUUCAUUGGGCGUAAAGAGCUCGUAGGCGGCUGCUCAAGUCGAAUGUGAAACUCGAGGCUACAACCUCGACCUGCAUUCGAUACUGGGCGGCUAGAGUCUGGUAGGGGGAUCUGGAAUUCCUGGGUGUAGCAGGUGGAAUGCGCAGAUAUCAGGAGGAACACCGGUGGCGAAGGCGGGAUCCUGGGUA